GCGCCGCACCACGACAAAGAUCAAUAAUAUGAACACUCCUUGUAAUCCAUUGACCAUUUCCAUGACCAUAAGGUAGGCUUCCGGACCAGUUCAAAUAUAACAUUAAAUAUUAGUGUGGAACAGAUGAAAUGUUUGCAUUAUAAACAUAUUCAUAUAGAUGCGAGAAUCGUGAGCCAACUCUGUGAAGAGCACCCUGUAGUUAAAUGGCGAAUGGUCACGACUUCUUUUGUUGCAAGGAAUUUUCUUACCACCAGAAGUAAUUAUAAUUUAUAUGGCUUGCGUGCCCGUUUGCUAACUACGCACUU